CCGGUAAGUCCAUAUGUCCAAAACCCAUGAUUCUCUUUUUUCAAAGAAAUGCUUGGUUUCGCCUCUAAAUUGCUGGUAAAUUAUAGAAUCAUAGACUUGAAACCGUGUUAUAUCCGUGGUGUUCAAACACUACCAUUUUUAAAUUCAGUUUCAAUCUCUGAAGACCAACGAUCUCUAACAGUCUCUUAUCUCACCAAUUCAUGUGGGCUCUCUUUACAAAAGGCUAUUUCAGCUACUAAGUAUGUUAAUAUUUAGAAAACAGAAAAACCGGACUUGGUUCUGCAAUUAUUAAGAGCUCAUGGGUUUACUAAACCUCAGAUUACUAGCUUAAUCUCACAGCAUCCACCUAUUAUUGUAGCUGAUAAACGAACUUCCUAUCCUAGAACCUGCUUGACUGGAAAAGUGGAAACAAGGCCAGAUAUAAUUUGAUCAUUAUGAUCAGAGAAAACCCUUAAGCCCAAGAUUGAUUUUUUUGAGUCAUUUGGUGCUGCAAAACUUGAUAUUCCAAAGAUUUUAUGUGCAAGUGCACGAAUCUUAGUCAGUAGUUUAAAGAAUAGGAUUUUACCCACUAUUGAUUAUCUUAGGGGAAUACUUGAGACUGAUGAGAAAAUGAUAUAUGCCUUAAUGCGAUGCCAGCGCACCCUUAAGUAUGGUACUGAUGCAAUGGUGUCUAAUGUAGGCAUUUUGCGUGCUCAGUGUAUUAGAACCCGAUAUAAGGAGUCUAAUGGUACUGGAGCCUCUAUCACUAAUGCUUAGAGUUGAUUUGUUUUAACAAGUGGUUCAAGAAGUUAAAAAAAUGGGGUUUGAACCAAUAAACAAGAGCAAAUCCUUCAUUUAUGUUCUUCAAUUAAUGGCAGUUAUAAGCAGAUUUCACUGGGAAAGGAAAAAGGAACUCUUGAUGAGCUUUGGUUGGUCAGAAAGCGAGUUUCUUUUGGCAUUUAGACUACAACUAUUUUUCAUGCUUACUUCGGAGAAGAAAAUGAAGGUCUUAAUGGAAUUCUUUUUGACUAAACUGGGCUUGCAACCUUCAGAUAUAGUUAAAUGCCCCAAUCUUUUUCUGGUCAGUUUGGAGAGAAGAGUUAUACCAAGAUGCUCUGCUUUGAAACUCCUAAUGUCAAAGGGCUCAAUUGAUAAGAAUGUAAACUUUGUCUCAGUAUUAAAUAUGAGCAAGAAGGACUUUGGAAAAAGGUUUAUCACUUGCUUCGAGCAGGAUUCUCCUGAAUUGAUCAAGGCAUACUUGGGUUAAGGCCAUAAUUCGAGAUUUGGUACCAAAAAUAUUAGGUAAAGUUAUGAAGGAAGUAUUGAACACAAGAAAUUCAUAAUCAAAUGAGAUAGAUUUGCAAUAUAGCAGUUCGGUAAUAGGUAAUGGUUGGAGCAGCGAUGCAUCUCUGCAUUCUCAUGUCUAGGACCUAAUUAAUUACUGAGAUAACAUUGGUUGACCAUGUCAAGCUUGCUCCCUUCUCUUCCCCUGUAGCAAACAGAGUGGUCGUUGCUGAUACAAUAUGCAGAAAGCUUAGGCCAGCUUUUUUUCUCUUGAUGGUCAGGUCAGGCAUAAACAUAUUUUUGAACAAACUUUUAUGGUGCUUUAAUUUCUUCUUCUUCUUCUUCUUCUUCUUCUUCUUUUUUUAUGUUUAUAUUAAGCAUUUUCUACAUUGAGCUCCCAUCUAUGUUCUAUAUGCCUGAUCAAAUUUUCCUGACUUCUCUAUAGUUGAAGUUUUUGUAUUUUGGUGUGUAUAACAACGACUUGCUGUUCUACGAUAUGAUGUGAUGCUGGAUUAUCUCAAUAGACAGGGAAGAAAAGCAUGGUUAUAGUACUGUGGUGCUUUUACCCGCAUGUUACCAACAAUGUUCUGCUGAAUAGCAAUUACAUUUUCCCUUUUUGCUUGUAAAUGUUACAGGAGGACUUAAAGAGGGUGUGAAUAUUGGUGGACAGAAAUUUGCUUCCUUUAUUUUAUGUCGUUUUCUUCA